UUUCUUUCUUUCUUUCUUUCUUUCUUUCUUUCUUUCUUUCUUUCUUUCUUUCUUUCUUUCUUUCCUUCUUUCUUUCUUUCCCAAAUAUACUCAGAAACCAUACCCUAAUCCUUUAAAAUACAUAAAUAUAUAGCUAUUAAAUACAGUAGUAGUAGCCACUAGCAGGGUAAAUCUGCUUCUUUAGCACUCAUCUUCUCCUUUUGUGUUAAUAUGGAAGAUAAAGAGUAAAUUUCAAGUAAAGUUCACUGAGAUGUUACAGGGCUAAAUAUUAAAAGACAUUUUGCAAUAAUAUUUAUUUUGCAGCUUCCUGAUCUCUUAGUCCUGUACAGCACUCUGAGAUCAAAAUGCAGCAUAAGUAGUAGGAUUUGCCACAGUUCUUUCCACCUCAAUAAAAGAUGUCUUUCUCUCUCUUUUACUUCCCAGCCAUUACCAUUUCAGCAGAGUGCCUUUAGGAGGUAAUCAAAAGAAAACAUCCCGGAAAUUUCUGACAUAACUUCACUUUUUUUUCACCCAUCUCAAACAAGGGCCAGAUGCACAUUCUGAGAUUGAGUCAUAGUGAGAGCUUUUUGGUUAUUUAAUUACAGUUUUUAAUUAAUGUGAGAAAGCUUAACUGAUCCUAAGUGGUGGUAGCAGUUGACAAAUUACAAGAGAACUCCAUGCCCACAGAAGAGCUAAUGCUGCAAGGAAAGCACAAGGAAUCAACAUUGGUUUGUAAUGAGUUACAUUUCAAAGAAAUAGUUUCUCCAAGUGUCUUUGUGCAUGUGGGUUUACUAUCAUCUUUGAAGUUUGAAUCAUUUUAAGAUCUGGCUAGGGGCAAAUUAGAUAAGAAGGUGGCUGUGCAAUUAAAUUAAUAUUUUGGAAAGCUCAUACAGUUACAAGAUCCAAGUACUUACCCUGACAAAAUGCUGCCAACACUUUAAAGAGAUGUACUGACUUAUUUUUUACCUAUAAAUUUUUUUGCUGACAGAUUUGGUGGGUGCAUGAUUCAGCACUUAGCACUGGUAACAUGAUUGUGGUAACAUACAGGUUUCCGAGCAGCUGUCCCAGAUGAAGGCUGCAGCAAAGGUUCAGCUCUGUGAAUCCACUUCCACAGCACCUGGCCACACUCACAAGCACAGCUUGGAGAGACUUGCUGGGCUGAAAAUUGGUUUUGUGUCCCAUCUCAGCCUACUGGAGCAGUGGCCAAAACAUCUGCUUGAGGCGGUGCCAGACCCACGGAGUCGCAGGGAUGCUGACAAGAUCCGUCCCUGUGCUCCCGUCCCAGCCACCCGCAGGGCUCCAGCAGCCGUGCCCGGUGUCCCCAGUGCCUCUGAAUCUCCUUUUACACUGUGUGGGUUUUGGUUGUCAAUCACUCUCACUGACAAAGAAAUCAAAUCUCUCCACAGAGCCAAGUGGUUUUGCAAAAUAUGCUCUGAAUCAUAUCAACCAGAUGCCUUUAUAAAGCUGCAUUUGUGACCAAGACUUGACAAAAGAAAGGGAGUUGCAAAUUAAUGUAUAUUUUAAUCUUUUAACCCCUUGAAAAGUCAGCUAGCUGUAUGGAGCAACAGUAGGCAGGUGAAAAAAAAAAAAGGGUGUUAUUUGAGCUUGUGCAUGCAAAUCUUAAUUUCAGUGAAAAACCUGAAAAAAAGUAGUCUCAUUUUUUAAGAAAAAGCAAACAAAAAAUGUCAUAUUCGUGUUGCAAGAAGGGUCAAAGCUUUGUGCAAACUCCUUUCUUGGGAGCUGAGCCCCAUAUAAGCAGCAAGUGUUUGAGGUGAUUCACUGUGAUUCACUCCAGGAGAAAUUAGAUACCUGUGGUAUUUUGAAAACCUUAUUGUGUGAUAGUUUGCAUCUUCAGAUGCUGGAAUAUUUUUAGAUGUCUACCCCGAUUUACCUGUCAUAUGCACAGAGUUAAGGUGAGGCAUUAUCCCAUUGUCUGUAUCUGGAAGUGAAGGUGCACAGAAGUUGAAUCAUUAACCUAAGGAAGCACACAGGAACAGUCCCACUGGUUACAGCAGAGAACCACUUACUCCAGGAGGCUGUGCUGAAGGGUGUCAGCAAUGGAGGCUCAGGACAAUGAUGUUAGCAAUGGCCUUGAGCUGUGUUUCCCUACUUCUUCCUUCAUAGUUACUGACCAUUAAUGUAGGGACUUCUGAGACGGAGUUGCCUCCAGCAGACUGUGUUUAACACCCUCAACAGUGAGCUACCGGUCGACAGUGGAUCAAAUCCAAAUUUAGCCUCCUGCCUCAUUGGUUGUAUCCUUGUAAAUGUUGUCUGAAGCCUGCAAUCAAGUUCACUUUAGGACAAGCAUAAAACAAUUGUCCCCUGAGAAUCUAGAUACACAACUCAGCCUGACUUCGGGCACACAAGGUUUUCAUGUGGGCUGUCUCACAGAAUUUAAAUUUUCCAUCUGGAACCUGGCUCCACCACAGUGAACAGAAGUGUUACAGAACCCCAAAGAGCCAGCUGUGCAUUUCAGUUUGGCAUCUGUGAGACUGAGCAAGGUGAGUCACUUAUCGCAGUCCUUACAUUCCACACGUCCCACAGGAGGAACCGCUGAGAGCUUUCAAGAGCACUUCAAGGUUUGCUUUGCUGCAGUGCCUGUUGCAAAGGACUGCAUUUUCCAUUGUAAUGUACUGCUUUAGAAUGAAUCCCAACAAGGAAAAAAUAUCUCACGCUAUUGUGGUAUUAUAAUUUUAAUAAAUAUUUCCCUUGUUUCCCACUACUCCAGGGAAGCAAAGCAAGGGAGGAGUUGCUGCAAGCAACACCAACUCACAACAGCAACUGAGAGAAUCAACGGAUUUACCUGCCAGGCAGCACUCACUCAUCAGCUUGGCUUUCAUUUACCUUAAACACCCACUAAUGAUUAGCAGCAUUUACAUGCCCACUAAAAAGAAAAAGGCACACUUCUGAGAAAUUACCUGUAUUGCAUCUUAUAGGAUGUUUGUGGCAGAGGGAGGGGUAGGUUUUGCAACUCUUUCCAAGAAAACCAAUGCCUUCACUUAAAGAAAUGAGUCAGAAAAGCACAGGGUGAGAAAUCAAGGACAAGUGGGAAUGAGACUGCAGCAGCACAGAUCCUUGGAACCUGGAUAAGGUGGCAAGUCCAUCCUGCCAAGAGCUAAGAGUUUCCAUUCUUGCUGGAGUUAAUGGACACCCAAACUCCUGGUGGAGAAGAAAUAUUUCUAAACUAAAAGCUCUUUUACUCAGCUCUUCUUUCUGCUGAAGCAAAAAAUCACUGGGUUCGAAAUCAGUCAAAAGCUGAUCCAAUAGCUUAUGCAAGUGAGUUUCUUGCCAAAGGAGGGAGUGCUGGAACAAAUUAAUAACUUAAAGAAAAAUGGGGAUACUGUGGUAACACAUGAAAUAGUUUAAUGGUGUGUUUGAGCCCAUUAAAAAUAAUGCAUUUCUUAUUAGAGUAUGGAAUUGAACCAAAUAUUUCUAUUUCAAAACAAAAAGCAAAUGCUUUAAAUGUCAUUCUGGCAAUUAUUAAGCAGUUAAAUUUAUUUUUAAAAUGGCAUUAAAUUUAAAGGUUAUAUUUGUAUAGCACAAUGCAGUAUCAUGUAGAAAUGCCCUUACACUGAAUGAUGGAGAAGGGUAUUGCCUCGGGAGCAAGGAGACAUUUAAUGUAAAUAAAACCUGCUGCUGCUUAUGAAGGAUAGUGAACCCAGACAGAGUCAUGCUGGGAGGGCCAGGUCCCUUCUAGAAUCAGAAUUAGCUUGCAGACAAGUGGUGCCAAAAUUUCUGGAUGGCAAUGCCCUUUGCAAUCCUGAAGGAGCCUACAUUCACUUAAACACUCCACCUAAACCUCAGCCUGGUUUGCAGAGGUUUUCAAGCAGUCUUUCCAGAUACAGUGCUUCGUUGCCCUCUGCCAUUAUAUUCCUCCGUAUACAAGAUCCAACACUGAAGGAGAACAGUUCAUAAAAUGAAACUGAUGUUUGCUUAAGCUAAAAAAUUUGAGGUACUUCAAAAAUAAGCAAAUAGAAAAUGUACCAUAUUUAGGGCUCUUAUGACAAUCUGCACUGCUCAAAAAAAAUCCAUGUCUGCAGUGCCUAUGGUAGUACUGGCCAGUAAACUCCAUUUAAAGCCAAAACUCUCUUUUGUCUCUUCAGACCUUCACCUUGACAGAUGUCCUUUCACCUCCAUCUUCAAUGUUAAUUCUUAGGGACUGCUACACAAACCUGAAAAUAAGGACUAAGGGAACCGGGACUUCCAUAAAAACAUUAACAUCUCAGGCAACACAGGAGGGGAGGAGGGGGUUGAUUUGAGUGAUAACUUUGCAACCUUCCUUGGUAACGAAGCAACCUGGCCAGGGUCUCCAUCCCUUGGCGGGGCUGAGCAGGAUGUCACAUGUGAGUCACACUGUGCUGAGUUCUGCUGGAAAUGCUUGGGAGGGAAAGAAGUUUCACAGAGAAGACCUUUUAAAUUAAGAUGCUUUAUACAAAGGAAAAUACAAGAGGUGGGAACAUGUGGAUGAGCUAAGGGAGAAAAAUGAAAAUGUAAAAUUGACAUGCUUUUUAAUACCAUUUUUAUCAUAUUUCUUUGAAAGCCAUCAUUUUUCAAUGUACUUCAUAGAUUGUCCUUGCAAAGAGAUUUGCCCUUUCUGACUCUUUCUCCAGUUAGGUGUUGCCUCUGUUAUCUUCCUCCUGAGAGCCUGAUUUGAGCUAACAAGCAAAAAUACUGUUUUUUAUAAUCUCACCUGUCUGUAUUAUGCCUCCACUUGCCUCAGCCCCACAAAGUGAGGUCCCAGCAUACCCUGGUUAGAGGCUGGAGAAGAAGCAAAGACCAUAGUACAGCUCAGGGCUGAUUCCCCCAAUGAGACCUGUAGUUUCUCCCCCUCACGCAGCCCCCAAAGAAUCCGACCAGCUCAGAGAUAAGGGGCUGUGAGGGGAGGAAUAUCAGGAGAGGGGUAAGAUAUUCAAAAGAGGCUCUCACCCCUGGAGAAGUUAGUUCAGCUCUCUUUAUUCUGUGAUGUCCAUGUGGAGAGCGGGGCAAAAGAGAGCGAACAGGAAAUGUCAGGGGUCUAUAAAGACUUUGGACAGGGUGGGCUUCUCUGGCUCCCCACCAACCCCAUUGGGGCAGGAAGGAGGAUCCAGGGGUUAUCUUGAUCAGAGUCACAGGGUCCCGGGGGAAGGGGGGCACAGGGUGCCUAUGAGCUCACUGUAACAGAGACCAACAUAUUUUCUCACCUUCUGUCCCUAAGGUCUUCUGAAAUUUACCAUGCAAAUACAGAAAACUUCACCAACAACCUCCCUGUGCAAUACCUCCUUGUUCCAGGCAUAACCACAGGCAAAUAGUUAACAUCUACCCACAAAGUUUUGCUAGCCUUCAACUUCAAGAUAUUUGGAAAACAGAGAAAAGGAAUUUAGAACUUUUUUUUUUUCUUAUUUCCUGCAAUGAAUAAAAAAUUAAUUUUACUAGAAGUACAGUACUUACCUUCUUUACUCUGACUGAAGCCAUUGUUCACUGUCUCCAAAGCAUUAGCUUAUAUUACCUUUUGGAAGUGAUGUAGUAAUACUGCUCAGGCACAUCUUCAGCAUCUUCCUUUUCUUAUUUUCACAGUUAAAAAAUCUCCUCUUUGGAGAUGGCAGCUAAUGUAAUUGUGGUAAAAAAUAAAAACAACACUGGAAAGAAUGGAACUAAGUCCCAACAACACAAAGUUACAGACAUAACAAAAAGAUAGGCAGGUUAUGUUUUAGAAGUAGAGUUAAAAAAAAAAAAAAAAAAAAAAAAAAAAGGUGGGUUUUCAUUAAUUGUGGAAAACAGAUACAUACAUACCACAUGAGGACAACAUAUGAUACGGAUCAAUCACUAUCCUCCAACUCUUAUUUCCUUUUGAGAAUUUUUCUUCUGUUUAUAGCAGUUUAUAGCUUUACAAUCUACUUGAACAUUUUCUUCUUGCAUCUUCCUAUUUCCAAGAGAUCAUUUCAGCAGAGGCAUUUCCACUCUUAGAAAAAGCAGACUGUUCCUGUUUGUAUCAGGCAAAGCAGAUGGAGAAAACAAAUCAUUAAUUUAUGACUUAGAAGAUACAUUUGUAUGACAGGACUUUGUAACACCCUACGCUUCUUUUUUAAUUUUUCAUGACAUUUAUGAAGAGAUAGGAAAAUAAAAUUAGAAACAGGAGAUUCCUCACAGUGGCAGUAUUCUGUCC
rnacentral:lncRNA from 1 species